GCCGAGGUGGCGGAACUGGCAGACGCACAGGACUUAAAAUCCUGAGCUCCUCCGGGGGCGUGUGGGUUCAAUUCCCACCCUCGGCA
rnacentral:tRNA from 6 species